rnacentral:tRNA from 1 species
CGGCACCCUGGACCAGGGCGGCGGCCGGUGCCUCGAAGGCGUCGGCCAGUGCGCGCUCGGCCCGUGCGGUGGCGUC